rnacentral:rRNA from 1 species
GACGAACGCUGGCGGCGUGCUUAACACAUGCAAGUCGAACGGUAAGGCCCUUCGGGGUACACGAGUGGCGAACGGGUGAGUAACACGUGGGUGAUCUGCCCUGCCCUUCGGGAUAAGCCUGGGAAACUGGGUCUAAUACCGGAUAGGACCACUGCCUGCAUGGGUGGUGGUGGAAAGCUUUUGCGGUGUGGGAUAGGCCAGCGGGCUAUCAGCUGGUUGGUGGGGUGAUGGACUACCAAGGCGACGACGGGUAGCGGGCCUGAGAGGGUGACCGGCCACACUGGGACUGAGAUACGGCCCAGACUCCUACGGGAGGCAGCAGUGGGGAAUAUUGCACAAUGGGCGCAAGCCUGAUGCGGCGACGCCGCGUGAGGGAUGACGGCCUUCGGGUUGUAAACCUCUUUCAGCACCGACGAAGCGCAAGUGACGGUAGGUGCAGAAGAAGGACCGGCCAACUACGUGCCAGCCGCCGCAGUAA